AGAGUUUGAUCAUGGCUCAGAACGAACGCUGGCGGCGUGGAUAAGACAUGCAAGUCGAACGGGAUAUUAUUUGUAGCAAUACAAAUGAUGUCUAGUGGCGUAAGGGUGCGUAACACGUGGGCAAUCUGCCGAGAAGUGGGGGAUAGCUCGCCGAAAGGCGAAUUAAUACCGCAUGUGGUUAGUGUUGGAUUCAACACGACACCAAAGCCGGGGCAACCUGGCGCUUCUUGAUGAGCCCGCGGCCUAUCAGCUAGUUGGUGAGGUAACGGCUCACCAAGGCUUUGACGGGUAGCUGGUCUGAGAGGACGACCAGCCACACUGGAACUGAGACACGGUCCAGACACCUACGGGUGGCAGCAGUCGAGAAUUUUUCUCAAUGGGGGAAACCCUGAAGGAGCGACGCCGCGUGGAGGAUGAAGGUCUUCGGAUUGUAAACUCCUGUCAUUUGGGAACAAUUGUUGGCGAUUAACUGUCGUCAGCUUGAUAGUACCAGAAGAGGAAGAGACGGCUAACUCUGUGCCAGCAGCCGCGGUAAUACAGAGGUCUCAAGCGUUGUUCGGAUUCAUUGGGCGUAAAGGGUGCGUAGGCGGCGGGGUAAGUCGGAUGUGAAAUCCCGGGGCUCAACCCCGGAACUGCAUUCGAUACUGCCUUGCUCGAGUACUGGAGAGGAGACUGGAAUUUACGGUGUAGCAGUGAAAUGCGUAGAUAUCGUAAGGAAGACCAGUGGCGAAGGCGAGUCUCUGGACAGUUACUGACGCUGAGGCACGAAGGCCAGGGGAGCAAACGGGAUUAGAUACCCCCGUAGUCC
rnacentral:rRNA from 1 species